GAUGAAGAACGUAGCGAAAUGCGAUAAGUAAUGUGAAUUGCAGAAUUCAGUGAAUCAUCGAAUCUUUGAACGCACCUUGCACCCUUUGGUAUUCUGAAGGGUAUGCUCGUUUGAGUGUCAUUGUACUCUCACACUCCCGAUCUUGAGUUGGGAGAGGUGGACUUGGGUUUGCUGCUCUACUGUAGCUCACCUCAAAUGUGUUAGUGCAGCUCUUGGUUGGACAUAGUACGGCGUGAUAAGUAUCUUCGCCGGUGCCUCGCAAAGAGGGUGGCCGAUCGGGAUGUUGUGCUCCAAAAUGUCUUCGGACAAUCUCUGACAACUUGACCUCAAAUCGAGUAAGACUACCCGCUGAACUUAAGCAUAUCAAUAAGCGGAGGA
rnacentral:misc_RNA from 1 species